rnacentral:rRNA from 1 species
AGAGUUUGAUCCUGGCUCAGGAUGAACGCUAGCGGCAGGCCUAACACAUGCAAGUCGAGGGGCAGCGCGAAGAUAGUUUACUAUUUUGGCGGCGACCGGCGCACGGGUGAGUAACGCGUAUGCAACCUACCUUAUACAGGAGUAUAGCCCGAAGAAAUUCGGAUUAAUCCUCCAUAGUAUUCUUUAAUGGCAUCAUUUGAAGAAUUAAAGCUUCGGCGGUAUAAGAUGGGCAUGCGUCCUAUUAGCUAGAUGGUAAGGUAACGGCUUACCAUGGCUACGAUAGGUAGGGGGCCUGAGAGGGUGAUCCCCCACACUGGUACUGAGACACGGACCAGACUCCUACGGGAGGCAGCAGUGAGGAAUAUUGGUCAAUGGGCGCAAGCCUGAACCAGCCAUGCCGCGUGCAGGAAGAAUGCCCUAUGGGUUGUAAACUGCUUUUAUUUAGGAAUAAACCCCUUUACGUGUAGAGGGCUGAAUGUACUAAACGAAUAAGCACCGGCUAACUCCGAGCCAGCAGCCGCGGUAAUACGGAGGGUGCAAGCGUUAUCCGGAAUCAUUGGGUUUAAAGGGUCCGCAGGCGGAUGUAUAAGUCAGUGGUGAAAUCCUGCAGCUUAACUGCAGAACUGCCAUUGAUACUGUACAUCUUGAAUUCGGUCGAAGUGGGCGGAAUGUGUAGUGUAGCGGUGAAAUGCAUAGAUAUUACACAGAACACCGAUAGCGAAGGCAGCUCACUAGGCCUGGAUUGACGCUCAGGGACGAAAGCGUGGGGAUCAAACAGGAUUAGAUACCCUGGUAGUCCACGCUGUAAACGAUGAUUACUCGUUUUCGGCGAUAUACGGUCGGAGACUAAGCGAAAGUGAUAAGUAACCCACCUGGGGAGUACGUUCGCAGAAUGAAACUCAAAGGAAUUGACGG